AAAGUCUGACCGAGCAACGCCGCGUGAGUGAAGAAGGUUUUCGGAUCGUAAAGCUCUGUUGUAAGUCAAGAACGUGUGUGAGAGUGGAAAGUUCACACAGUGACGGUAGCUUACCAGAAAGGGACGGCUAACUACGUGCCAGCAGCCGCGGUAAUACGUAGGUCCCGAGCGUUGUCCGGAUUUAUUGGGCGUAAAGGGAGCGCAGGCGGUCAGGAAAGUCUGGAGUAAAAGGCUAUGGCUCAACCAUAGUGUGCUCUGGAAACUGUCUGACUUGAGUGCAGAAGGGGAGAGUGGAAUUCCAUGUGUAGCGGUGAAAUGCGUAGAUAUAUGGAGGAACACCAGUGGCGAAAGCGGCUCUCUGGUCUGUCACUGACGCUGAGGCUCGAAAGCGUGGGUAGCGAACAGGAUUAGAUACCCUGGUAGUCCACGCCGUAAACGAUGAGUGCUAGGUGUUAGGCCCUUUCCGGGGCUUAGUGCCGGAGCUAACGCAAUAAGCACUCCGCCCGGGGAGUACGACCGCAAGGUUGAAACUCAAAGGAAUUGACGGGGGCCCGCACAAGCGGUGGAGCAUGUGGUUUAAUUCGAA
rnacentral:rRNA from 1 species